CAGUCGCCGCGGUAAUACGAAGGGUGCAAGCGUUAAUCGGAAUUACUGGGCGUAAAGCGUGCGUAGGCGGUGAGUUAAGUCUGCUGUGAAAUCCCCGGGCUCAACCUGGGAAUGGCAGUGGAUACUGGCUCGCUAGAGUGUGUCAGAGGAUGGUGGAAUUCCCGGUGUAGCGGUGAAAUGCGUAGAGAUCGGGAGGAACAUCAGUGGCGAAGGCGGCCAUCUGGGACAACACUGACGCUGAGGCACGAAAGCGUGGGGAGCAAACAGGAUUAGAGACCCCGGUAGUCCCUGUCUCUUAUAA
rnacentral:rRNA from 1 species